rnacentral:rRNA from 1 species
GAUGAACGCUGGCGGCGUGCCUAAUACAUGCGAGUCGAGCGAACAGACGAGGAGCUUGCUCCUCUGACGUUAGCGGCGGACGGGUGAGUAACACGUGGAUAACCUACCUAUAAGACUGGGAUAACUUCGGGAAACCGGAGCUAAUACCGGAUAAUAUAUUGAACCGCAUGGUUCAAUAGUGAAAGACGGUUUUGCUGUCACUUAUAGAUGGAUCCGCGCCGCAUUAGCUAGUUGGUAAGGUAACGGCUUACCAAGGCAACGAUGCGUAGCCGACCUGAGAGGGUGAUCGGCCACACUGGAACUGAGACACGGUCCAGACUCCUACGGGAGGCAGCAGUAGGGAAUCUUCCGCAAUGGGCGAAAGCCUGACGGAGCAACGCCGCGUGAAUGAUGAAGGUCUUCGGAUCGUAAAACUCUGUUAUUAGGGAAGAACAAAUGUGUAAGUAACUCUGCACGUCUUGACGGUACCUAAUCAGAAAGCCCCGGCUAACUACGUG